CUUCAGGUAUCAGGGCGUGUGGACUCAGUCGGUUGCGGACAGCGGCAGCAUGAGUGAGGUCGCCGCGGUACUGGGAAGGCAAAGGACCACUGAGGUAAAAUCGUUUGCUGGUUUCCAAGUUUGGCAGUCUUGUAAUCCGAGCGAAGCUGAAUGAAGUUCACCAGAACAGUGCGAUCCAGGCCACUCUGGAAAAAUGAUGCCAUUGAGUUUCAGUGAAUACAUAAUAAUAUGGUAACAGGUUCUCUGGGGACACCUGCAGCAGCUUGCAGAGGGUGUGGAGUGUGUCAAAGAGGGAGUUGACCUGAGGUAUCUUGAAGUUGGCGACACACUUUCUGUACUCAUUCACGUCACAGAUGACUGCCAUCGCUCCUGAAACACGAUGCUGUCGUCUGCCAUGCUGUGAGGUGGACAAGAUGACUACACCUCGUGUCUCAGGCCCUGCUCCUCCAUCAGUUUAAUGCAGUGCUCUCCUCGGGAACUCACCAGUGGCACUGUACUCGAACUUCAUGAGAUGGUCAAGGAUGGUGCGGUGAAACCUGAGGCCCAGCUCCAGCAGCCCGCUUUCCAGGUUGUGGCCGUCAAGGGAAUCCCGAAUUCGCUCCACCACCAAGUUGAUGUAACGCACCACACGCUGGCAGGCCUUGAACACGGAAUGGGAGAAUACAAAAUAGAAGAAUGUGAUAGAGAACUAAUAAAAGCAACUCUGAUAUAUAUAUAUAA